GACGAACGCUGGCGGCGUGCUUAACACAUGCAAGUCGAACGGAAAGGCCCUGCUUUUGUGGGGUGCUCGAGUGGCGAACGGGUGAGUAACACGUGUGUAACCUGCCCUUGACUUUGGGAUAACUUCAGGAAACUGGGGCUAAUACCGGAUAGGAGCUCCUGCUGCAUGGUGGGGGUUGGAAAGUUUCGGCGGUUGGGGCUGGACUCGCGGCUUAUCAGCUUGUUGGUGGGGUAGUGGCUUACCAAGGCUUUGACGGGUAGCCGGCCUGAGAGGGUGACCGGCCACAUUGGUACUGAGAUACGGCCCAGACUCCUACGGGAGGCAGCAGUGGGGAAUAUUGCACAAUGGGCGGAAGCCUGAUGCAGCAACGCCGCGUGCGGGAUAACGGCCUUCGGGUUGUAAACCGCUUUCGCCUGUGACGAAGCGUGAGUGACGGUAAUGGGUAAAGAAGCACCGGCUAACUACGUG
rnacentral:rRNA from 1 species